ensembl:lincRNA Gm43291 predicted gene 43291
ACUGGGACCAGACUUUUGUGCCACGUUGUGACAUGCACACAUGCACACACAGGAAAGGACUUGGCUUGUGCCCACAUGCCUUUCUUCAGGGACAAGUGGGAACGGACAUAAGGAGCGUCUCAUCCUUACGUGGCCUCCUUUGUCUUCCUCCUUCCUGGCCAAGACGGUGAUUUACUGCCCAAAGACAAGUCCAUCUGAAGCAAGAACUGACUAUCGAGGACUCUGUAGUGACUGAUAAACUGGGAAGAGAAAAUUGGACCAGAGACUUCAAGGCAGCUCUCAGACAAGAAUAUUCCAGUGCCAGAAAGAAAGACAUUAAAAAUGAAGAGACAUGCAGAGAGUGCACCAUGCCAUCGUGGAGACAGACUGAAGUGACACAACUGUUAGUCAAAGAGGAUUAAGGACUUCCAGAAGCCACCAAAGGAAGGAGAUGGCUGUCUUCAUAUUUAUUCUAGACAUUGGUUCUACUCAAGUCAAGGCAAGUCAUCUGACCUUCACCAAGAAAGUCCAGCAUCCAGGAAAGGAAAUUGUAUGUUUGGAUAUGUAACCUGAAUUGUUUAGUCCUAUAGAUGUGACUUGCCCAUUAAAAUCAGAGGAAGACUGGGUAAGGUACUCCAGGACCAGCAGGAUGUGGCAAGCCCUGCCCUUCUGGUGCAGGAGCAUGACCCACAUGUGAUCAGGACUCACCUUCCUUCCAGUCAGAGCCUCAGGCUCUGCACAAAGACUCAAAUGUGCUGCCUGGGAAGGAGGAAGAGGAGGAAGAGGGCUUCUGACCUAUUAUUACUUGGUCCACAAUGGUCUCUCAGAGCCCUAAGGAUCUGCACGUGGGCUCCACUGCACAGCUUCCUUUGUUAUCAACCAAAAACAGUAAUGUAGACAUGAGGAAAUUCUGGAAUAAGGUUCACCGUCCUGACACUAAAUGGAACACCCUCUACAGCUGUCCAACCCCUCCCCCUCUCCCUCUCUCUCUCUCUCUCUCUCUCUCUCUCUCUCUCUCUCUCCCUUCCCCUUUCCCUCUCCUCCUUCCCAUCCAUGGCUGGGGUGGGGGGCUUCUGGUUUAGUUUUUGUUUAUUUGGAUUUGCUGAGACAUGAUUUCACAAUCUACCCAAGUUGGCCUCAAUUUCACAAUCCUCCUGCCUCAACCUCCUGAGUGCUAGAAUUGUAGGUAUGUGUCCCACCAUCUCCAAUCUUUCUCUCAUCCUUUCUUUCUUUCUUUCUUUCUUUCUUUCUUUCUUUCUUUCUUUCCUUCUGAAGCAAUUGAGAAUACUUCAUGGGUAUAGAUAAGAGUAUUUAUGAAGUAUUUUAACAAAUUAAAAUGUUUGUGCUUUAGUUCCAUAAUAUGCCCAAUUAAAAAUUUAAAUAACUCUGUGGAAAAGAUUUUUUUUAAGCUGGGGAAAAAGUAGAGAAAAAAACUAUGAAUAAAAAAGGAAAACACUGGGAGGUUGCAAUGGCUGGAGAACGUGACUGUGUGUGUCUAGGAAUGAGGUUGUGUGUUGCAAUGCUUGUCACCUAGUCUGCCACUCCAUAUUCCAGGAUCCAUUGUUAAAUGACAUGCUUUUGGAGACUCCAAUGGUGAUGUUAACCAAAGCAGCUCACACCAAUAAUGAAAGAGUCCCCUGGAUUAUGGCAAUAGAAAUAUAAUCCACUGCAGCCAAAAGACUAGAAGAUCCCGUGCUUCCCGGCCCUGCAAUGCCUUGCUUUUCAUUUACAUCUACCCUCCAUUCCAGGCAUCCUUUAGGACUAUAAAUGUUAAAGAUACAGACAGGAACUUCUAAGAAUAACUACCAAUAAAAGGAGCAAAGUCCUAGAAGCAAAGUAGGCAUAUGUGACAAAUGGCAGCGCACAGUCCCCACUGCUGCCACCCUAGCAUAAGUGCAUACAAGCAUAAACACAUUCUUUGUCCAGACUGCUCAUCAGUCUCCUACUGACUCUCUCCACUCUCAACCUCACUGUGGCUUUUUAACACAUUGAUGUUCAGAAAUACAGUGAGCCCUUUUUCUUAUUACAUAAGAAAAAGGAAAGCAUUUCUUCUUUCCAGCCCUAUACAUUGUUGCAAUAGAUGUUAAGUGACAUUAAACAAAUUCCAAGCAUUUGUUUCACUGACCUGCUUGAUACAACCAUGGCAAAGAACAUUAUCACCCUUGUUGUCAGAUAUCAGAUACAUUUAAUGGGCCUGGAGAAAUGACUCAGCAUUUAAGGCAUGGCCUGUUUGCUCUUCCAGAAGAAGUGAGUUUGCUUCCCAGAUUCGUGUAAUGUCCCAAAAUACUGAGACAUAAAUGUCUUAACUGUGACACUAUCUAAUCUGUUAACCUGAAAACUCCUAUGACCUGUUUCCCUUCAAGCAUGUCUGAACAAUGAAAACUUGGCUCUACUUCCAUCUGACCUGAAGAAAUUUCAUCUUUCCUGAAAUGGGUAUCUCCUACUCUCCACCCCACACUAACCCUCUUCGAUUUUCUACAUCACAAGAUUUACUAAAUGCCACCUAUCAUAUGUGUAUUUGACUUGUGCAAGUUUCUGGGUCUAGUAGCACAACCUUAAAAUCUCAGCAACUUGGGAAGCUGAGGCAGGAGGAUCUCAUGUUUAAGACUCGCCAGGGCUGUGGUGCAAACUUGAAGCUAGUCUGGUUAAGUUAGUGAAACCCUGCCUCAAAAUAUCUAUAUAGCUUGGGAUGUAAUUCCAUGGCAGAGUGCUUGUCUAACAUGUAUAAGGCCCCAAAUUUAAUCCCCAGUACCACAAGACAAUAAUGUACAUAACUAUAAUAAAUUUUACAUAGUAAACUUUUAUAAGUAUAUUUCACAAAUAUUUUCACAAUAGACAGAAUCUAUUGUCCAAUAAGCAAAACCUGAUAGUUUCCUUGAAAACUGUGCGCUAAAGCAUUUAAUGAUAUAGAAAUGAUAUAGAAAACUUAGAGGAAGUCAUCCUUGAUUUCCAUGCCUCAGUGUAUAAUUUACUACCACUCAUUGGAACCAGGAUUUUUCAAACCUUGAACCUUAGUUAAUGGUAUUGUUGUUCUGUUAUUGUUGUUGUUGUGGAGUUUGUUACAAAGCAUAGCACCUUGGUCUGACCAGCAUCUGUUGAAUAAAUGACUAGAUGAGC